rnacentral:rRNA from 1 species
AGAGUUUGAUCCUGGCUCAGAUUGAACGCUGGCGGCAGGCUUAACACAUGCAAGUCGAACGGAAACAGAAGGUAGCUUGCUACUUUGCUGUCGAGUGGCGGACGGGUGAGUAAUGCUUGGGAAUAUGCCUUAUGGUGGGGGACAACAGUUGGAAACGACUGCUAAUACCGCAUAAUAUCUUCGGAUCAAAGUGGGGGACCUUCGGGCCUCACGCCAUGAGAGUAGCCCAAGUGGGAUUAGCUAGUUGGUAAGGUAAUGGCUUACCAAGGCGACGAUCCCUAGCUGGUCUUAGAGGAUGACCAGCCACACUGGAACUGAGACACGGUCCAGACUCCUACGGGAGGCAGCAGUGGGGAAUAUUGCACAAUGGAGGAAACUCUGAUGCAGCCAUGCCGCGUGUGUGAAGAAGGCUUUCGGGUUGUAAAGCACUUUCAGUGGGGAGGAAAGGUUAUUGUUUAAUAGACAAUAGCUGUGACGUUACCCACAGAAGAAGCACCGGCUAACUCCGUGCCAGCAGCCGCGGUAAUACGGAGGGUGCGAGCGUUAAUCGGAAUUACUGGGCGUAAAGCGCGCGUAGGUGGUUAAUUAAGUCAGAUGUGAAAGCCCAGGGCUCAACCUUGGAACUGCAUUUGAAACUGGUUAACUAGAGUUUUGUAGAGGGUGGUAGAAUUUCAGGUGUAGCGGUGAAAUGCGUAGAGAUCUGAAGGAAUACCAGUGGCGAAGGCGGCCACCUGGACAAAGACUGACACUGAGGCGCGAAGGCGUGGGGAGCAAACGGGAUUAGAUACCCCGGUAGUCCACGCAGUAAACGAUGUCUAUUAGAAGUUUGUGGCUAUAUGCCGUGGGUUUCAAAGCUAACGCAUUAA